rnacentral:pre_miRNA from 1 species
GCUAUGUAUCAAGCAAUGCUAUUGAUGAAAAAUAAUAUUGCUACAUACAUAGGGU